CUCAUCCCCCUCCCGAAUCAGCGCAGCUCCCUCUCACCCCUCGUCCAAACCCUAACGGCGCCCUCCUCUAUGCGCCGCCGCCCCCAUCGUUUCUACCUAACACCGCCGUCCCCUUCCACUCGCUCUCCUCCAUGAGCCGGAUCCCCACCUCCUUCGGCUCCCCUUCCACUAACUCUCCCGUGAAGGCCGAGAUGGACGUUCGACGGCCUCGGCUCCCGGAUUCCGCACACCCACUCCGCUCCAUCUGCUCUGAUCUAAGUCGAUCUCGGCUUCCUCCCCAAGCCACGCGACGCGAGAUCAGCUCCGGCUCCCGCUCCGACCAUGGCGGCGACCAUCCAGUCCGUGAAGGCCCGUCAGAUCUUCGACAACUGCGGCAACCCCACCGUCGAGGUGUCUAUGAAGCUUUGGAGCUGAGGGACGGUGGAUCUGACUACUUGGGCUAGGGUGUUUCCAAGGAUUACAUUCGUUUGACCGAAUUAUAUACCACCAUAGAAUUCUACACCCUGUGGUGGACUUAAGUAUCUUCAUGACUUCAUUUGAUGUGUGUAUUUCUGUUAAUUUUAAGCUUAUGUUGCUCUGAAAAUGUACCUCACUGACCGUCUGUCUAUUUAUUGUGUACUUCUUGCAUGAGGAUGCGACUAGUGAUGCGGCGCGCCAAGCAGCAGUAGGGGAAGGGGGUCUCCUGCUCGAGGAGGCGGAGUAGGGGUGUGCCUAGCUGGCAGCCCUGUCCUACUCGUGGGGGAGGGCCAGGAGGGGUCUGCUCCUCUGCUUCCAUUGCGACCGCGGCAGGUUACGGUUUAAGUGUUGCUGCUGUUUAGUACUAAGUGCUUAACUUAACUAAGCUUGAGCUACUAAAACCCACUCUCAAAUUAAUGAAUUCCUGUUUUGCGAAACUUCAAUGUUGAGCUCCUCUCCUCGCUGAGCCAUGGACGUCGAUUUUCAUUUCGUCGACCACCACCCCAGCUACCUUCUUGUGUAAUCAAAUUUGUUGAUGUUCCAUGGUGCCAAGUGGCCUCUGGCCAUCUUGAAUUGGAACUCCAGAAGCUCUUUGAUGUUUCUGCCGCAAUUUUCUCCUGAGCGUGAUUCCGUCGAGAGUUGGGUUAAGUGACUGCUGGUGUUGAACGUGCUUUUGCAGAUCGAGUUCUGAAUCUGCUUGCUGCUCACCUUCUUCGGCUACAUCCCUGGCAUCAUCUACGCUGCCUGGGUCAUCGCUAAGUAGGUGUCGGAGGGGCUCCUCACCUCUGGCUGCCUCUAGGUGACCCAAGGUUGCUGAAGAGGAGCAGCAGCCGCACAAGAGUAUCUGAAGAUGACUCCUCCAUUUCUAACCCAUCCCCUUCCUUCCACUGUUUUGGAUGAUGAACUUGAUCCUGCUUAAUUAAUUAAUUUCUCAUCGUGCUUAAUUAGCUGUAAAUGUGCCCCCUUACUGAAGAAGAAGAAGAAGAUAAUAUGAAUGUAAUUUAAUUGGAUGGUCCCUUUCAUCGUGCUUAAUUGUAAAUGUGCCUCCCUUACUAAAGAAGAUAAGAAUCCAUAUGUGUUAUGCAAAAUUAACUUUGUCAUCUUGUAAGCACUCUAGGCAGUGUCUAGAGGGUGAAAAUAUGAGAACAAAAAAGAAUUACUGGAUUAAUUUAAAACAUCCAUCCUUUACUCCAUCCAUGUCAUUGUUAUUUACACUUGGGAGUAUUUUUAACUUGAAAAUCUCUGGUGAACUGCCAUUUGGAGUACAUUUGCUUGCUCUGUUAAUUUUUUUGGGUUACUCCAUCUUGCUCUGUUAAGUAAAAUUUGAUAUUGGAGUAGCAGCAGUAAGCUAGACCCUCCAUCUUGCUCUGUACAUUGUCAAAGUUACUCCAAGUUAGCAGAAGUACUGUUAACUUCUCAAUUUGCUUGGAUUACAUUUAACUUCUAGUACUCCAGUACUCCAGUAAUUUUGCUUAGAGUAUUUAACAAGAUUGAACUGUACAUGUGUGGAGUAAUUUUGCUGGGAGUAUUUAACAAGAUUGAACAAGAUUUAACUUGUCAACAUUUAACAGUAUUUUCAGUAAGUAUUCUGAACAUGCUUCUGAGUAUUUCUAGAUUUUGAACAUGCAAGCAAAUCUACAGGAGUAAACAAGUUCUUGAGGUAGAUAUUGCAAGUGUUUUAUCUAAACAUGUACUCUCACCGAAGAUAUUUCAAGUGGUCUGACCAGAUUUUCUCAGUUUGCAAGUUUACUUACUUUUCCAGUUAAUUAACUGGACAUCUUGGAGUAGUUAGAAAAUCAUGAAUUAUUUGCAGAAAACCAUAGAAGUAUUGUACUCCAGUGUGCAUUACUUACAUAAACUUGCUUGCAAGCUUAUUUUCUGACUCACAUAUUCUGAAACUGAAAAAGCUUAGUUAACUUCUGUAGUACUUUGGGUGAAAAUAGAAUGGUUGCAUCCUGCACAACAUACUUUGAGUGAAUGUUGAGUACUGUAUGCACUUGUGUAAUAGAUGUUGGUUGAUGAAUGCCUGGGUGUGUCGCUGCUUGUUCCAUGCUACAUUUAGGAAUUGUUCAUUUUUGUGUUAUGACAACUUCACUGCAUCCUGCCGAAGCUGAUAGUCAGUGUCUCAGUGACAGAAAUAACUCAAAAGUUAUACCUUUAUCUGUGCUGGCAAUCGGAUGUAUAUAAUCGUAACCAUGAGACUAGUUAUUACCGUAGCCAGCAGAUCUCUGUAGUAAGCAGUAACUGGUAGUUCUCAUAAUCCAUCCCAUAGAUUACUGCCCCAACGUGUGUUCCAAGGGCUUUACCUGUUAGAAUUGAUGCUUGUUUCUACUAAGUGUUGCACUUGUUUCUACUAAGUUUUAACUGUGAAUCUGUUGUUUCACAUAUACUAGAUACAACUGAUGCCUUGAAGAAGUCAGCUCCCCUUGGAUGGUACAGUGUAGCAAAUCCAUGUCGAUUCAUUCAUUCUUUGUUGGGUGUACAGGAGAAGAAGAAUCCCGAAGAUAAACCACACCCAACAAUGCAUUUUAGCUCACUAGAGAUAGUUAUGCUCGCAGCUAGUUAUGUGUAUAUUUAGUUGUAUUUUGCUGAAUACCAGAAUUGUACUAUGCUUGGCUGUUGUAUGAAAUAUUAUGCCUUAUUGGCUCUUUUUGAAUCAAAAUAUCUAAUUGCACAAA